GAGUUCAUGCCCUUCGGGGUAGAUCUCCCACCCUUGAAUAUCUUACCAUUGUUGCUUUGGCGGGCCGCCUCGGCCACUGGCUUUUAGCUAGUGAGUGCCCGCCAGAGGACCCUAAACUCUGAAUUUUGUAUUGUCUGAGAACUAUAUAAUAGUUAAAACUUUCAACAACGGAUCUCUUGGUUCU
rnacentral:misc_RNA from 1 species